GGACGGGUGAGUAACGCGUGGGUAACCUGCCCUGUACAGGGGGAGUAACAGCUGGAAACGGCUGCUAAUACCGCAUAAGCGCACGAGGAGACAUCUCCUUGUGUGAAAAACUCCGGUGGUACAGGAUGGGCCCGCGUCUGAUUAGCUGGUUGGCAGGGUAACGGCCUACCAAGGCAACGAUCAGUAGCCGGUCUGAGAGGAUGAACGGCCACAUUGGAACUGAGACACGGUCCAAACUCCUACGGGAGGCAGCAUG
rnacentral:rRNA from 1 species